rnacentral:lncRNA from 1 species
GCAGGGGGCAGCGGCGCAGCCAUGGCGGCUGAGCGGGGCCGGGGGCGGCGGCGGCGGAGGGCGGCGGAGGCGGACGGGGACGGGCGCUGCUGAGGAGGCGGAGGCGGAGGCGGAGGCGGAGGGCCGCGCCGGGUCUCGCCCCCGCCGGGCGCCAUGAGCCAGGGCGGCGGGGCGGGCAGCGAGAGCGGGGAGCCUGAGGCCAAGGUGCUGCACACCAAGCGGCUGUACCGCGCCGUGGUUGAGUUUCGGAGCGGCGGGGCGGUGAAGGCGGGAGGAGGCAGAAGGCGGGAGGCCUUUUUCAGCGGGGCCCCUCGGCUUUUUGGCCGGCGUCGGCCACGUCCUCCUGCCCCUUCGUUCCCUUCCAUCGCGCGUUUCGGGUCGGGCGCCUUCCUCGUGGCUCGGGCUCUGUUCCGCUCCGCGUUCGCCCCGGGUGCGGGCAGCGAUCGCUUCCUGCUGCGCCCGGGGACGGAGCCGGAGCCGCGCUGCCCGAGCGCCGAGCGCUGAGGUGGUGGGACGAGGUGAGGGGCUUCUCACAGCGCUCUUUUCCGUUUCGCUCUUCCUGGAUGGACAAACCUCUGGUUUGACCCCAAAAUGAGGCCCCGCUGCCCCGUCCCGGGACGUCAGGGCGCAGACGGAACGCUCGGGGUCGGUUUCCGCGCGGCCGAGGAGCGCUUGGCACCGGGCUCUUUCUGCUCCUGGUUGUUUUUAACAGCUCGGUGGCCGCUUUGCCUCCUCCACGGUCCUGGCGCGGAGUGGGGGAAAAAAGCAUCUCUCGACGGCUCCGCUUGCUUCUGAGGGGUUUGGGCCGUUUGCUCGGGGGUCCUGGGUGAGCUGCCGGUGGGCAGCAGGCAGCCGGGCUGGCAGCGGAGCUGUGUGUGCGGCGCUGGACUCCCACCUUGCUUUUCUUAUCGUUAUUUCCCACGAAGUCGGUUCAGCUCCGGGCCGUUCCGUCUCCCAAGCUGUCGCGUCAGUGUUCUUCCCCACAUUGCUCUUCUUCUGCCCGGCUCUGUGCAAACAGAGGAGAGAUUUCGGGUCCCCUGGCUGCAGGGCUUCCCGAGCUGUGGAUUUCGGGUCCCCUGGCUGCAGGGCUUCCCGAGCCCUGGAUUUCGGGUCCCCUGGCUGCAGGGCUUCCCGAGUCCUGGAUUUCAGGUCCCCUGGCUGCAGGGCUUCCCGAGCCGUGGAUUUCGGGUCCCCUGGCUGCAGGGCUUCCCGAGCCCUGG